UCUACGGAGAAAGCAGGGGAUCACUUGUGACCUUGCGCUAUAGAUGAGCCUAAGUCGGAUUAGCUAGUUGGUGGGGUAAAGGCCUACCAAGGCGACGAUCUGUAGCGGGUCUGAGAGGAUGAUCCGCCACACUGGGACUGAGACACGGNCCAGACUCCUACGGGAGGCAGCAGUGGGGAAUAUUGGACAAUGGGGGGNACCCUGAUCCAGNCNUGCCGCGUGUGUGAAGAAGGCCUUAUGGUUGUAAAGCACNUUUAGCGAGGAGGAGGCUNUUUUGGUUAAUACCCNAGAUGAGUGGACGUUACUCGCAGAAUAAGCACCGGCUAACUCUGUGCCAGCAGCCGCGGUAAUACAGAGGGUGCAAGCGUUAAUCGGAUUUACUGGGCGUAAAGCGCGCGNAGGCGGNCAAUUAAGUCAAAUGUGAAAUCCCCGAGCUUAACUUGGGAAUUGCAUUCGAUACUGGUNGGCUAGAGUGUGGGAGAGGANGGUAGAAUUCCAGGUGUAGCGGUGAAAUGCGUAGAGAUCUGGAGGAAUACCGAUGGCGAAGGCAGCCAUCUGGCCUAACACUGACGCUGAGGUGCGAAAGCAUGGGGAGCAAACAGGAUUAGAUACCCUGGUAGUCCAUGCCGUAAACGAUGUCUACUAGCCGUUGGGGCCUUUGAGGCUUUAGUGGCGCAGCUAACGCGAUAAGUAGACCGCCUGGGGAGUACGGUCGCAAGACUAAAACUCAAAUGAAUUGACGGGGGCCCGCACAAGCGGUGGAGCAUGUGGUUUAAUUCGAUGCAACGCGAAGAACCUUACCUGGCCUUGACAUAGUAGAAACUUUCCAGAGAUGGAUUGGUGCCUUCGGGAAUCUACAUA
rnacentral:rRNA from 1 species